rnacentral:lncRNA from 1 species
AAUUAAACUGCGAUCUAAUCGGCUCGCAUCCGGUGCGAGCCGAUUAGAUCGGCAGCUGGCAGUUCUUCAGUUAAUUUGAAAGUUUGUCUAAAGGCAGAAAUAUUCAUGGAACAUUCAUUGAAUCAUAAAUACUAUAAAUAUAAAACUUAAUUUAGCUCAGUAUGUUAAUGUUCUUUUUCAUGUAAAAUUGAUGUGGUUUGAAAAGACCAAUACAUUAUAUAAAAAUAACCUAUUUUGAUUUCUUGCUUUAUGUGCUUGAGAAUGACUUAUCAAAUUCUUGCUCACUUCCCAUGGAUUGUUGUGUUGCAGCAAUAUUAAUGAGAUUUAUUUAUCUAUUUUGAUAUCUUCCAAUGCCAAUAAAGGCUUCUUGCACACAAAAAAAUGCAAUCUGGCAUAAAGCUGUUUUAACACUUCUUGUAUCAUGCCCAAUUGAUACUGUAUCAUGCCCAAUUGAUCAUGCUUACUGGACAUUCAUAAUGACAGCCAAAAUAUUGCGAGUGUCUCCCUAUUUUUUUCUUUUUAAAAGUAUCAAAAAUGGCUACUUUAUAUUAAAAAUAUAUUUUUGUACUUCUAUAGUAUGACAUGUACCAAAUAUAUUACUUUAGUAUCAGAUGUAGCUAUGCUGGAACAGGCAAAAGGAAUAAACAUUUGAAAAUAAACAAUUAAUUGACCAAUAGUGAUAACUGCAGAAUCAUAGUUUGCAUUGAUUCUCCAAUUUCAUAGUUUCAUACUUUAAACUAAAA